rnacentral:rRNA from 1 species
AGUGAACGCUGGCGGUAGGCCUAACACAUGCAAGUCGAACGGCAGCACAGUAAGAGCUUGCUCUUACGGGUGGCGAGUGGCGGACGGGUGAGGAAUACAUCGGAAUCUACUUUUUCGUGGGGGAUAACGUAGGGAAACUUACGCUAAUACCGCAUACGACCUACGGGUGAAAGCAGGGGAUCUUCGGACCUUUCGCGAUUGAAUGAGCCGAUGUCGGAUUAGCUAGUUGGCGGGGUAAAGGCCCACCAAGGCGACGAUCCGUAGCUGGUCUGAGAGGAUGAUCAGCCACACUGGAACUGAGACACGGUCCAGACUCCUACGGGAGGCAGCAGUGGGGAAUAUUGGACAAUGGGCGCAAGCCUGAUCCAGCCAUACCGCGUGGGUGAAGAAGGCCUUCGGGUUGUAAAGCCCUUUUGUUGGGAAAGAAAAGCAGCAGGUUAAUAACCCGCUGUUCUGACGGUACCCAAAGAAUAAGCACCGGCUAACUUCGUG